rnacentral:lncRNA from 1 species
CUUGAAUUUGGAGGAGGGAUCAAUCUACUAUAAAAGAUGAAGUGACGCAAGAUUUCACACAAGGCUUCCUGAAGCUCAGCUGAGCAGGUAGUGCAAGUGUCCUUCAAUACAACAACGAAAAAGAAGAUAUUUUUUAAGUAUUUCAUCUGAUAAUCCAAUGAUCAAAAUGAAAGCACACAUCAGCUCACUUUAAAGUGUGUGACCGCUUUGGGAGGAAAGGAAAUAAGAACUCUGAAGGACAAUUUCAGUAUUAUAGCCUAUGCUGAAGAUGACUUGUGCAAAAUAAGUUUAUGGUCUUAAUAAUUAAUAAGACCAGGGUUUCCACAAUCAUGAAAAAUCUGGAAAUAUUUCAAAAGUGUGGUUUCCAGGCCUGGACAAGUCAUUAAAAGUGAUUUUAAAAAUGCUAUUGACAAGUCAUCGCAAUUUCUGUAGGCAAUAUUUAUACUAGACCCCAGCUCUAAAUUACUUCUUCAGCUAGAACUCACUCUUUUGUGAUGUCGCGGUUUGGCCCGCCGGUCUCUGUGAGGUCUGUGGAGGUGACCUCGGGCUUCAGGUGCAGAGGAUCGCCCAACAUCAACCGCCUGCUCGGCGUGUCUUCCCCCAAACCCCUGAGGCCCUGCAUCUCCCAUCAGCCGGCCUACUUUUAA